rnacentral:rRNA from 1 species
UCCGUAGGUGGAUAAUUAAGUCAGAGGUGAAAUCCUGCAGCUCAACUGUAGAAUUGCCUUUGAUACUGGUUAUCUUGAGUCAUUAUGAAGUGGUUAGAAUGUGUAGUGUAGCGGUGAAAUGCAUAGAUAUUACACAGAAUACCGAUUGCGAAGGCAGAUCACUAAUAAUGUACUGACACUGAGGGACGAAAGCGUGGGGAGCGAACAGGAUUAGAUACCCUGGAGUCC